CAAGGUUGACCUCGGAUCAGGUAGGAAUACCCGCUGAACUUAAGCAUAUC
rnacentral:rRNA from 1 species